CAGGUCAUCACAAUAGCUGAACCAAGUCUUGGUGUUGUUCGAUUGGACUGAACCAAGCUCUGCAACCGAUGUUCUGUUCAGAGUCUCGAAUUUGGAUGGAGAAGGCAUCAACUUAUUGAUCUACAGUCUGAAAAGUUAAUGAACGCCCAGGGUCUGUAGUGACUACACAACAGGCUGAGGGGACACAAACUGUUAAAAUAUGCAGUUGUAUCAUGAAACUUGUUUUGGGCCUGGUACACAUUGGUUGGCAAUGAGCCAAAAUAGAUUGUAUCAUGUUUUCUUCUAGAUUUCAGAGGCCUCCUCCGUACCAAGGAAUACAUGCAGACCUUGACAUUGGUAUGUGCCUAUAAGCUUCAGUAAUUUGUUGGGAAUUAAACUCAGCCACAUAUAUUGGUCUGCUGUCGUACUAUGGGUCCUCAAACUAGAUUUGUAGAAAUAUCUAUUGUUGUGUGACAUGUAGUUUGCUGUAAGGUUAUGCGUUUGGCUGUAGAAAAUAGUUCUAUUAUAAUUUCCCAGUCCUUUUCUGCAUUUUGAGUGCCCGGAGGAGAUGAU